rnacentral:lncRNA from 1 species
GUUAGGGUUAAAAUCACUGUCCAAAACCUUUGCUUGUAGGAACUCUUUUCCAACCUUUUGGAGUUAGUUAGACCAAAAAAAAAAAAAAAAUGAAAAAAAAAUAUUUGGGGUGUUCGGGCUUCCUGAAGUAAUACCCGGGUAUUAGAUUUUAAGGCUAGGGUAAGGUUUAAGUUUUUUGGCGUUAGGGUUAAAAUCACUGUCCAAAACCUUUGUAGGAACUCUUUUCCAACCUUUUGGAGUUAGUUAGACCAAAAAAUAUGAAAAAAGAAAAAAAUAUUAUUGGGGGUUUUCGGGCUUCCUGAAGGUAAUACCCAGGUAUUAGGUUUUGGGACUGGGGAAAGGUUUAAGGUUUUUGGCGUUAGGGUUAAAAUCACUGUCCAAAACCUUUGUAGGAACUCUUUUCCAACCUUUUGGAGUUAGUUUGACCAAAAAAAAAAAGAAAAAUGAAAAAAAAAUAUUUGGGGAGUUCAGGCUUCCUAAAAGUAAUACCCAGGUAUUAGGUUUUGUGGCUAGGGUAAGGUUUAAGUUUUUUGGCGUUAGGGUUAAAAUCACUGUCCAAAACCUUUGUAGGAACACUUUUCCAACCUUUUGGAAUUAGAUAAAACAAAAAAAUAUGAAAAAUGAAAAAAUAUAUAUUUGGGGUUUUCGGGCUUCCUGAAUGUAAUACCCGGGUAUUAGAUUUUGGGACUGGGGAAAGGUUUAAGGUUUUUGGCGUUAGGGUUAAAAUCACUGUCCAAAACCUUUGUAGGAACUCUUUUCCAACCUUUUGGAGUUAGUUAGACCAAAAAAAAAAUGAAAAAUGAAAAAAAAAUAUUUGGGGUUUUCGGGCUUCCUGAAAGUAAUACCCGGGUAUUAGUUUAUGGGGCUAUGGUAAGGUUUAAGGUUUUUGGCGUUAGGGUUAAAAUCACUGUCCAAAACCUUUGUAGGAACUCUUUUCCAACCUUUUGGAGUUAGUUAGACCAAAAAAAAAAAGAAAAAUGAAAAAAAAAUAUUUGGGGUUUUCGGGCUUCCUGAAUGUAAUACCCGGGUAUUAGAUUUUAAGGCUAGGGUAAGGUUUAAGUUUUUUGGCGUUAGGGUUAAAAUCACUGUCCAAAACCUUUGUAGGAACUCUUUUCCAACCUUUUGGAGUUAGUUAGACCAAAAAAAAUGAAAAAUGAAAAAAAAAUAUUUGGGGUUUUCGGGCUUCCUGAAAGUAAUACCCGGGUAUUAGGUUUUGGGGCUAUGGUAAGGUUUAAGUUUUUUGGCGUUAGGGUUAAAAUCACUGUCCAAAACCUUUGUAGGAACUCUUUUCCAACCUUUUGGAGUUAGUUAGACCAAAAAAUAUGAAAAAAGAAAAAAAUAUUAUUGGGGGUUUUCGGGCUUCCUGAAGGUAAUACCCAGGUAUUAGAUUUUGGUACUGGGGAAAGGUUUAAGGUUUUUGGCGUUAGGGUUAAAAUCACUGUCCAAAACCUUUGUAGGAACUCUUUUCCAACCUUUUGGAGUUAGUUAGACCAAAAAAAAAAGUAAAAUGAAAAAAAAAUAUUUGGGGUGUUCGGGCUUCCUAAAAGUAAUACCUGGGUAUUAGGUUAUAGGGCUAUGGUAAGUUUUAAGGUUUUUGGCGUUAGGGUUAAAAUCACUGUCCAAAACCUUUGUAGGAACUCUUUUCCAACCUUUUGGAGUUAGUUAGACCAAAAAAAAUGAAAAAUGAAAAAAAUAUAUAUUUGGGGUUUCGGGCUUCCUGAAGUAAUACCCGGGUAUUAGGUUUUGGGGCUAUGGUAAGGUUUAAGUUUUUUGGCGUUAGGGUUAAAAUCACUGUCCAAAACCUUUGUAGGAACUCUUUUCCAACCUUUUGGAGUUAGUUAGACCAAAAAAAAAAAAAAAUGAAAAAAAAAUAUUUGGGGUGUUCAGGCUUCCUAAAAGUAAUACCCAGGUAUUAGGUUAUGGGGCUAUGGUAAGGUUUAAGUUUUUUGGCGUUAGGGUUAAAAUCACUUUCCAAAACCUUUGUAGGAACUCUUUUCCAACCUUUUGGAGUUAGUUAGACCAAAAAAUAUGAAAAAAGAAAAAAAUAUUAUUGGGGGUUUUCGGGCUUCCUGAAGGUAAUACCCAGGUAUUAGGUUUUGGGACUGGGGAAAGGUUUAAGGUUUUUGGCGUUAGGGUUAAAAUCACUGUCCAAAACCUUUGUAGGAACUCUUUUCCAAACUUUUGGAGUUAGACCAAAAAAAAAGAAAAAUGAAAAAACAAUAUUUGGGGAGUUCAGGCUUCCUAAAAGUAAUACCCGGGUAUUAGGUUUUGUGGCAAGGGUAAGGUUUAAGUUUUUUGGCGUUUGGGUUAAAAUCACUGUCCAAAACCUUUGUAGGAACUCUUUUCCAACCUUUUGGAGUUAGUUAGAACAAAAAAAUAUGAAAAAUGAAAAAAUAUAUAUUUGGGGUUUUCGGGCUUCCUGAAUGUAAUACCCGGGUAUUAGUUUUUGGGACUGGGGAAAGGUUUAAGUUUUUUGGCGUUAGGGUUAAAAUCACUGUCCAAAACCUUUGUAGGAACUCUUUUCCAACCUUUUGGAGUUAGUUAGACCAAAAAAAAAAGAAAAAUGAAAAAAAAAUAUUUGGGGUGUUCAGGCUUCCUAAAAGUAAUACCUGGGUAUUAGGUUAUAGGGCUAUGGUAAGGUUUAAGGUUUUUGGCGUUAGGGUUAAAAUCACUGUCCAAAACCUUUGUAGGAACUCUUUUCCAACCUUUUGGAGUAGGUUACACCAACAAAAAUGUAAAAUGAAAAAAAUAUAUAUUUGGGGUGUUCGGGCUUCCUGAAUGUAAUACCCGGGUAUUAGAUUUUAAGGCUAUGGUAAGGUUUAAGUUUUUUGGCGUUAGGGUUAAAAUCACUGUCCAAAACCUUUGUAGGAACUCUUUUCCAACCUUUUGGAGUUAGUUAGACCAAAAAAAAAAAAAAAAAAAAAAAAAAAAAUAUUUGGGGUUUUCAGGCUUCCUAAAAGUAAUACCCGGGUAUUAGGUUAUGGGGCUAUGGUAAGGUUUAAGUUUUUUGGCGUUAGGGUUAAAAUCACUGUCCAAAACCUUUGUAGGAACUCUUUUCCAACCUUUUGGAGUUAGUUAGACCAAAAAAUAUGAAAAAAGAAAAAAAUAUUAUUGGGGGUUUUCGGGCUUCCUGAAGGUAAUACCCAGGUAUUAGGUUUUGGGACUGGGGAAAGGUUUAAGUUUUUUGGCGUUAGGGUUAAAAUCACUGUCCAAAACCUUUGUAGGAACUCUUUUCCAACCUUUUGGAGUUAGUUUGACCAAAAAAAAAAGAAAAAUGAAAAAAAAUAUAUUUGGGGUUUCGGGCUUCCUGAAAGUAAUACCCGGGUAUUAGGUUUUGGGGCUAGGGUAAGGUUUAAGUUUUUUGGCGUUAGGGUUAAAAUCACUGUCCAAAACCUUUGUAGGAACUCUUUUCCAACCUUUUGGAGUUAGUUAGACCAAAAAAAUAUGAAAAAUGAAAAAAUAUAUAUUUGGGGUUUUUGGGCUUCCUGAAUGUAAUACCCGGGUAUUAGAUUUUGGGGCUAUGGUAAGGUUUAAGUUUUUUGGCGUUAGGGUUAAAAUCACUGUCCAAAACCUUUGUAGGAACUCUUUUCCAACCUUUUGGAGUUAGUUAGACCAAAAAAAAAAAAAUGAAAAAUGAAAAAAUAUAUUUGGGGUUUUCGGGCUCCUGAAGUAAUACCCGGGUAUUAGGUUUUGGGGCUAUGGUAAGGUUUAAGUUUUUUGGCGUUAGGGUUAAAAUCACUGUCCAAAACCUUUGUAGGAACUCUUUUCCAACCUUUUGGAGUUAGUUAGACCAAAAAAAUGAAAAAUGAAAAAACAAUAUUUGGGGUUUUCUGGGUUCCUGAAUGUAAUACCCGGGUAUUAGAUUUUAAGGCUAGGGUAAGGUUUAAGUUUUUUGGCGUUAGGGUUAAAAUCACUGUCCAAAACCUUUGUAGGAACUCUUUUCCAACCUUUUGGAGUUAGUUAGACCAAAAAAAAAUGAAAAAUGAAAAAACAAUAUUUGGGGUUUUCGGGGUUCCUGAAUGUAAUACCCGGGUAUUAGAUUUUAAGGCUAGGGUAAGGUUUAAGUUUUUUGGCGUUAGGGUUAAAAUCACUGUCCAAAACCUUUGUAGGAACUCUUUUCCAACCUUUUGGAGUUAGUUACACCAAAAAGUAUGAAAAAAGGAAAAAAAUAUUAUUGGGGGUUUUCGGGCUUCCUAAAAGUAAUACCCGGGUAUUAGGUUAUGGGGCUAUGGUAAGGUUUAAGUUUUUUGGCGUUAGGGUUAAAAUCACUGUCCAAAACCUUUGUAGGAACUCUUUUCCAACCUUUUGGAGUUGGUUACACCAACAAAAAUGUAAAAUGAAGAAAAAAAUAUUUGGGGUGUUCAGGCUUCCUGAAGGUAAUACCCGGGUAUUAGAUUUCAAGGCUAGGGUAAGGUUUAAGUUUUUUGGCGUUAGGGUUAAAAUCACUGUCCAAAACCUUUGUAGGAACUCUUUUCCAACCUUUUGGAGUUAGUUAGACCAAAAAAUAUGAAAAAAGAAAAAAAUAUUAUUGGGGGUUUUCGGGCUCCCUGAAAGUAAUACCCGGGUAUUAGGUUUUGGGGCUAUGGUAAGGUUUAAGUUUUUUGGCGUUAGGGUUAAAAUCACUGUCCAAAACCUUUGUAGGAACUCUUUUCCAACCUUUUGGAGUUAGUUAGAACAAAAAAUAUGAAAAAAGAAAAAAAUAUUAUUGGGGGUUUUCGGGGUUCCUGAAUGUAAUACCCGGGUAUUAGAUUUUGGGGCUAUGGUAAGGUUUAAGUUUUUUGGCGUUAGGGUUAAAAUCACUGUCCAAAACCUUUGUAGGAACUCUUUUCCAACCUUUUGGAGUUAGUUAGACCAAAAAUAAAGAAAAAGAAAAAAAUAUUAUUUGGGGUUUUCGGGCUUCCUGAAAGUAAUACCCGGGUAUUAGGUUUUGGGGCUAUGGUAAGGUUUAAGUUUUUUGGCGUUAGGGUUAAAAUCACUGUCCAAAACCUUUGUAGGAACUCUUUUCCAACCUUUUGGAGUUAGUUAGACCAAAAAAAAAUGAAAAAUGAAAAAAACAAUAUUUGGGGUUUUCGGGGUUCCUGAAUGUAAUACCCGGGUAUUAGAUUUUAAGGCUAGGGUAAGGUUUAAGUUUUUUGGCGUUAGGGUUAAAAUCACUGUCCAAAACCUUUGUAGGAACUCUUUUCCAACCUUUUGGAGUUAGUUAGACCAAAAAGUAUGAAAAAAGAAAAAAAUAUUAUUGGGGGUUUUCGGGCUCCCUGAAAGUAAUACCCGGGUAUUAGGUUUUGGGGCUAUGGUAAGGUUUAAGUUUUUUGGCGUUAGGGUUAAAAUCACUGUCCAAAACCUUUGUAGGAACUCUUUUCCAACCUUUUGGAGUUAGUUAGACCAAAAAAAAAUGAAAAAGAAAAAAAAAUAUUUGGGGUUUUCGGGGUUCCUGAAUGUAAUAUACGGGUAUUAGAUUUUAAGGCUAGGGUAAGGUUUAAGUUUUUUGGCGUUAGGGUUAAAAUCACUGUCCAAAACCUUUGUAGGAACUCUUUUCCAACCUUUUGGAGUUAGUUACACCAAAAAGUAUGAAAAAGGAAAAAAAUAUUAUUGGGGGUUUUCGGGCUCCCUGAAAGUAAUACCCGGGUAUUAGGUUUUGGGGCUAUGGUAAGGUUUAAGUUUUUUGGCGUUAGGGUUAAAAUCACUGUCCAAAACCUUUGUAGGAACUCUUUUCCAACCUUUUGGAGUUGGUUACACCAACAAAAAUGUAAAAUGAAGAAAAAAAUAUUUGGGGUGUUCGGGCUUCCUGAAGGUAAUACCCGGGUAUUAGAUUUUAAGGCUAGGGUAAGGUUUAAGUUUUUUGGCGUUAGGGUUAAAAUCACUGUCCAAAACCUUUGUAGGAACUCUUUUCCAACCUUUUGGAGUUAGUUAGACCAAAAAAUAUGAAAAAAGAAAAAAAUAUUAUUGGGGGUUUUCGGGCUCCUGAAAGUAAUACCCGGGUAUUAGGUUUUGGGGCUAUGGUAAGGUUUAAGUUUUUUGGCGUUAGGGUUAAAAUCACUGUCCAAAACCUUUGUAGGAACUCUUUUCCAACCUUUUGGAGUUAGUUAGACCAAAAAAUAUGAAAAUAGAAAAAAAUAUUAUUGGGGGUUUUCGGGCUCCCUGAAAGUAAUACC